AGGACGAACGCUGGCGGCGUGCUUAACACAUGCAAGUCGAACGAGGCGCUUGCGCCUAGUGGCGAACGGGUGAGUAACACGUGAGCAACCUGCCCUUGGCUCUGGGAUAGCCUCCGGAAACGGGGAUUAAUACCGGACAUGACCUUCUCCUGCAUGGGGGAGGGUGGAAAGUUUUUCGGCCAGGGAGGGCUCGCGGCCUAUCAGCUUGUUGGGGGGUAACGCCCACCAAGGCGACGACGGGUAG
rnacentral:rRNA from 1 species